rnacentral:rRNA from 1 species
GACGAACGCUGGCGGCGUGCUUAACACAUGCAAGUCGAACGGAAAGGCCCUGCUUUUGUGGGGUGCUCGAGUGGCGAACGGGUGAGUAACACGUGAGUAACCUGCCCUUGACUUUGGGAUAACUUCAGGAAACUGGUGCUAAUACCGGAUAGGAUCUCCUGCUGCAUGGUGGGGGUUGGAAAGUUUCGGCGGUUGGGGAUGGACUCGCGGCUUAUCAGCUUGUUGGUUGGGUAGUGGCUUACCAAGGCUUUGACGGGUAGCCGGCCUGAGAGGGUGACCGGCCACAAUGGGACUGAGAUACGGCCCAGACUCCUACGGGAGGCAGCAGUGGGGAAUAUUGCACAAUGGGCGGAAGCCUGAUGCAGAAACGCCGCGUGCGGGAUGACGGCCUUCGGGUUGUAAACCGCUGUCGCCUGUGACGAAGCGUGAGUGACGGUAAUGGGUAAAGAAGCACCGGCUAACUACGUG